AGAGUUUGAUCCUGGCUCAGGAUGAACGCUGGCGGCGUGCUUAACACAUGCAAGUCGAACGAAGCAGGAGGGUGCUUGCACCUUCCUGCUGAGUGGCGGACGGGUGAGUAACACGUGGAUAAUCUGCCCUGCACAGGGGGACAACAGCUAGAAAUGGCUGCUAAUACCGCAUAAGCCUACAGCCUCGCAUGAGGGAGUAGGAAAAGAAAUUCGGUGCAGGAUGAGUCCGCGUCUGAUUAGCUAGUUGGAGGGGUAAAAGCCCACCAAGGCAACGAUCAGUAGCCGGCCUGAGAGGGCGACCGGCCACAUUGGGACUGAGACACGGCCCAAACUCCUACGGGAGGCAGCAGUGGGGAAUAUUGCACAAUGGGGGAAACCCUGAUGCAGCGACGCCGCGUGAGCGAGGAAGUAUUUCGGUAUGUAAAGCUCUAUCAGCAGGGACGAAAAAAGACGGUACCUGACUAAGAAGCCCCGGCUAACUACGUGCCAGCAGCCGCGGUAAUACGUAGGGGGCAAGCGUUAUCCGGAUUUACUGGGUGUAAAGGGAGCGUAGACGGCAAGGCAAGCCAGAAGUGAAAGGGCAGGGCUCAACCCUGUACAUGCUUUUGGAACUGUGGUGCUAGAGUGCAGGAGAGGUAAGUGGAAUUCCUAGUGUAGCGGUGAAAUGCGUAGAUAUUAGGAGGAACACCAGUGGCGAAGGCGGCUUACUGGACUGUAACUGACGUUGAGGCUCGAAAGCGUGGGGAGCAAACAGGAUUAGAUACCCUGGUAGUCCACGCUGUAAACGAUGAAUACUAGGUGUUGGGGGC
rnacentral:rRNA from 1 species